rnacentral:rRNA from 1 species
UACGUAGGGCGCAAGCGUUGUCCGGAAUUAUUGGGCGUAAAGCGCACGUAGGCGGCUUUGCAAGUCCCAUGUGAAAUCCCACGGCUUAACCGUGGAAGUGCAUGGGAAACUGCAGAGCUUGAGUACUUAAGAGGAUCGCGGAAUUCCCGGUGUAGAGGUGAAAUUCGUAGAUAUCGGGAGGAACACCAGUGGCGAAGGCGGCGAUCUGGGAAGAUACUGACGCUGAGGUGCGAAAGCGUGGGGAGCAAACAGG